rnacentral:lncRNA from 1 species
AAGUAUUUUAUUUUGAGCACUGCUAUGAGUACUGUGUGAAUUGAAACCUUGUAGUGUUGUCUUUAGAGAUACUUAAUCUGCUGAGUGAGUCACCCAUACUAUUACUGGCUUUAAAUUUUUUUUUUGGUGAGUAUCCAUUUAAAAAGUAUCCGAGGCAUUUAUGUGUUAACGUUUACCUCCUUUGCUCUGGAAGGGUGUUAAUUGAAUUUAUCUUUGGUGGGGUUGUUUUGUAGAAGAUUUGUUGUGACAUCAGCGCACGAUGAUCACAGUAGUUGUGAAUAAGUUACAACUUAUGUGUGAGUUCCGACAAUAUCUUUGUCAGACAUGUCCGUGAACCCCAACAAUAUCUUGAACUUUUCAUUCACCUCGCCCAAGGUCUUGAACCUCUCAUUAAGAGAGGAAAUCACAGUAUCCACUACCACAUUGAAAAAUGUAGUCUCCAUCCUCUUGAGUACAUCGCUGACAGGUUCGUCUGCACACUCAUAGCUAAAGUGACAUUUUUUAGUUCUUAGUCUUCUGUUUCAGCACCGUGUCUACGCUCAUCGCUUCACAGAUUUCUUUAGCAAUAGUUAGUGCAUCAGCAAAACCUGUAUUUCUGUAGCUGACAAUAUCAUCUCUGGUCUUUUUGAGCAGAUCUACAGCCACGCCGAGCUGUAUCGUAGUCGACUGCAUUAGUUUGCUCACGUGCUGAAUUUUGCUGAGUAUAUCAUACCACACAACUGAACAAAUGACAAAACGGUAUGACCCUACUUCCUCUGCCAACGAUUAAGCCUCAACUUUGACGACAGGGUCAGUUGCAGAUUCUCUGUGCUCCAAAAGCGCUUCUUUGAGUUGCGGAGGUUGAUAUCUAAUUGCCUCCACACUUUUUACUCGGCUUUCCCAUCUGACGUCUGACCACGAUUUCAGAGUAAUAUUAACAUGUUUUAAAAGAACUUGCCACCUCUGAGGAGAGGCUGAAAACAAUGUGAAUACUUUCGUUAAAUAUCCAAAGUAACAAGUUGCAUUUAGGGAGCUCUUGGCAGCGUCACCUAAUAUAAAAUUCAAAUUAUGGGCACCACAAGGGACAAAUAAGGGCCGAGAAUUCUGUUGAAGAAGCCUGGCUUGAACUCCUUUGAUGUUUCCUCUCAUAUUUGCUUCAUUGUCGUAGGAUUGACCUCGAUAAUCCUCAAAAGAAAUGUUCAUUUGUUUGUCUUCCGAGUAGAAUUCAUGACAAAUUUAGCCCUGUAGACUUCUCUACCUCAAGGAACCCCAAGGUAGUGUGACUGUGAUUGCCUGCAUUACUUUCAACCCUACUUAAAGUUCCACUUCUUGGAGAAAAUUACCAUUGGAUUGACAGUUAAGUUUUUCGGCUGACCCUCUAGAGCCAAAUUGCUUUCAGCUAGAGACUGAAUAAUCGCCAUUAGUCUAGUGAGGACUUGGCGCCACCCGUUCCACUCAGCCAUUAACAUUUCCAUUUCCCGUCUGUCUAUCGUCCUUCCACUUGCAAUGUUGACCUCCAGUUCCUUCUAUGUUGUCAUGUUUUUUUUAGUGUGUUCUAUGUUACUUUCAUGUGUGCUGAGCAAAUGACUAGUUCUCAGUUGGAGUCAAUUUGUUACCAUUGAAUUUAUUGAGAUAACACAAGUUUGGUGUUAAAUUUUUCAUUGUUGUAUUUUUCAACCUGUUUUUAUUUAACGGAGAAUUUUAUUACAUAGCGCCUUACCAUUUCUUACAGUGUAGACUGAUAUGCAUUGUUGGUAAAGAGGUUAUAUGUAUUUGAGAACUAAUUCCGGUGUAUUUUCAGCCAUAGUAUUGAGUGGGUUGAGGACUCUGUGGUGAAAUGGACAUCUAAGACAUACAAUCUCUGAAAAUGAAUUGCUGGAAGCACCCUCUGUACAUGUAAGGACCACCAAUUGUGAGUAAAGCACAGAGUAAAUUGUGUAGUGUUAACACAGUGUCAAGAUAAUUGAAAAAGACAGUGAAUUCUUGUGAGUACAGAAAAUCCGCUUUGUGUUAAUCAUCCGUGAAAGCUACAGAGUUAUAUUUUCUUGAGACAUUCUCGUCAAGUAUCAUCAAGUAUUUUAUUUUGAGCAUUGCUAUGAGUACUUUGUGAAUUGAAAGUUUGUAUUGUCCUCUUUAGAGAUACUUAAUUUUCUGAGUGAGUCACCGAUACUACUGCCGAUUAUUUAUUUUGCCAUAGUAUUGAGUGGGUUGAGGACUCUGUGGUGAAAUGGACAUCUAAGACAUACAAUCUCUGAAAAUGAAUUGCUGGAAGCACCCUCUGUACAUGUAAGGACCACCAAUUGUGAGUAAAGCACAGAGUAAAUUGUGUAGUGUUAACACAGUGUCAAGAUAAUUGAAAAAGACAGUGAAUUCUUGUGAGUACAGAAAAUCCGCUUUGUGUUAAUCAUCCGUGAAAGCUACAGAGUUAUAUUUUCUUGAGACAUUCUCGUCAAGUAUCAUCAAGUAUUUUAUUUUGAGCAUUGCUAUGAGUACUUUGUGAAUUGAAAGUUUGUAUUGUCCUCUUUAGAGAUACUUAAUUUUCUGAGUGAGUCACCGAUACUACUGCCGAUUAUUUAUUUUGGUGAGUAUCCAUUUAAGAAGUAUCCGAGGCAUUUAUGUGUCAAUGUUUACCCCCUUUGCUCUGGAAGGGUGUUAAUUGAAUUUAUCUUUGGUGGGGUUGUUUUGUAGAAGAUUUGUUGUGACAUCAGCGCACGAUGAUCACAGUAGUUGUGAAUAAGUUACAACUUAUGUGUGAGUUCCGACAAUAUCUUUGUCAGACAUGUCCGUGAACCCCAACAAUACCUUGAACUUUUCAUUCACCUCGCCCAAGGUCUUGAACCUCUCAUUAAGAGAGGAAAUCACAGUAUCCACUACCACAUUGAAAAAUGUAGUCUCCAUCCUCUUGAGUACAUCGCUGACAGGUUCGUCUGCACACUCAUAGCUAAAGUGACAUUUUUUAGUUCUUAGUCUUCUGUUUCAGCACCGUGUCUACGCUCAUCGCUUCACAGAUUUCUUUAGCAAUAGUUAGUGCAUCAGCAAAACCUGUAUUUCUGUAGCUGACAAUAUCAUCUCUGGUCUUUUUGAGCAGAUCUACAGCCACGCCGAGCUGUAUCGUAGUCGACUGCAUUAGUUUGCUCACGUGCUGAAUUUUGCUGAGUAUAUCAUACCACACAACUGAACAAAUGACAAAACGGUAUGACCCUACUUCCUCUGCCAACGAUUAAGCCUCAACUUUGACGACAGGGUCAGUUGCAGAUUCUCUGUGCUCCAAAAGCGCUUCUUUGAGUUGCGGAGGUUGAUAUCUAAUUGCCUCCACACUUUUUACUCGGCUUUCCCAUCUGACGUCUGACCACGAUUUCAGAGUAAUAUUAACAUGUUUUAAAAGAACUUGCCACCUCUGAGGAGAGGCUGAAAACAAUGUGAAUACUUUCGUUAAAUAUCCAAAGUAACAAGUUGCAUUUAGGGAGCUCUUGGCAGCGUCACCUAAUAUAAAAUUCAAAUUAUGGGCACCACAAGGGACAAAUAAGGGCCGAGAAUUCUGUUGAAGAAGCCUGGCUUGAACUCCUUUGAUGUUUCCUCUCAUAUUUGCUUCAUUGUCGUAGGAUUGACCUCGAUAAUCCUCAAAAGAAAUGUUCAUUUGUUUGUCUUCCGAGUAGAAUUCAUGACAAAUUUAGCCCUGUAGACUUCUCUACCUCAAGGAACCCCAAGGUAGUGUGACUGUGAUUGCCUGCAUUACUUUCAACCCUACUUAAAGUUCCACUUCUUGGAGAAAAUUACCAUUGGAUUGACAGUUAAGUUUUUCGGCUGACCCUCUAGAGCCAAAUUGCUUUCAGCUAGAGACUGAAUAAUCGCCAUUAGUCUAGUGAGGACUUGGCGCCACCCGUUCCACUCAGCCAUUAACAUUUCCAUUUCCCGUCUGUCUAUCGUCCUUCCACUUGCAAUGUUGACCUCCAGUUCCUUCUAUGUUGUCAUGUUUUUUUUAGUGUGUUCUAUGUUACUUUCAUGUGUGCUGAGCAAAUGACUAGUUCUCAGUUGGAGUCAAUUUGUUACCAUUGAAUUUAUUGAGAUAACACAAGUUUGGUGUUAAAUUUUUCAUUGUUGUAUUUUUCAACCUGUUUUUAUUUAACGGAGAAUUUUAUUACAUAGCGCCUUACCAUUUCUUACAGUGUAGACUGAUAUGCAUUGUUGGUAAAGAGGUUAUAUGUAUUUGAGAACUAAUUCCGGUGUAUUUUCAGCCAUAGUAUUGAGUGGGUUGAGGACUCUGUGGUGAAAUGGACAUCUAAGACAUACAAUCUCUGAAAAUGAAUUGCUGGAAGCACCCUCUGUACAUGUAAGGACCACCAAUUGUGAGUAAAGCACAGAGUAAAUUGUGUAGUGUUAACACAGUGUCAAGAUAAUUGAAAAAGACAGUGAAUUCUUGUGAGUACAGAAAAUCCGCUUUGUGUUAAUCAUCCGUGAAAGCUACAGAGUUAUAUUUUCUUGAGACAUUCUCGUCAAGUAUCAUCAAGUAUUUUAUUUUGAGCAUUGCUAUGAGUACUUUGUGAAUUGAAAGUUUGUAUUGUCCUCUUUAGAGAUACUUAAUUUUCUGAGUGAGUCACCGAUACUACUGCCGAUUAUUUAUUUUGCCAUAGUAUUGAGUGGGUUGAGGACUCUGUGGUGAAAUGGACAUCUAAGACAUACAAUCUCUGAAAAUGAAUUGCUGGAAGCACCCUCUGUACAUGUAAGGACCACCAAUUGUGAGUAAAGCACAGAGUAAAUUGUGUAGUGUUAACACAGUGUCAAGAUAAUUGAAAAAGACAGUGAAUUCUUGUGAGUACAGAAAAUCCGCUUUGUGUUAAUCAUCCGUGAAAGCUACAGAGUUAUAUUUUCUUGAGACAUUCUCGUCAAGUAUCAUCAAGUAUUUUAUUUUGAGCAUUGCUAUGAGUACUUUGUGAAUUGAAAGU